CCUACGGGUGACAGCAGUGGGGAAUAUUGCACAAUGGGGGAAACCCUGAUGCAGCGACGCCGCGUGAGUGAAGAAGUAAUUCGGUAUGUAAAGCUCUAGCAGCAGGGAAGAAAAGGACGGUACCUGAGUAAGAAGCCCCGGCUAACGACGUGCCAGCAGCCGCGGUAAUACGUAGGGGGCAAGCGUUCUCCGGAUUUACUGGGGGUAAAGGGAGCGUAGACGGCCGUGCAAGUCUGGAGUGAAAGGCGGGGGCUCAACCCCCGGACUGCUCUGGAACCUGUACGGCUGGAGUGCAGGAGAGGUCAGUGGAAUUCCUCGUGUAGCGGUGACCUGCGUAGAUAUU
rnacentral:rRNA from 1 species